rnacentral:rRNA from 1 species
GACGAACGCUGGCGGCGUGCCUAAUACAUGCAAGUAGAACGCUGAAGAGAGGAGCUUGCUCUUCUUGGAUGAGUUGCGAACGGGUGAGUAACGCGUAGGUAACCUGCCUUGUAGCGGGGGAUAACUAUUGGAAACGAUAGCUAAUACCGCAUAACAAUGGAUGACACAUGUCAUUUAUUUGAAAGGGGCAAUUGCUCCACUACAAGAUGGACCUGCGUUGUAUUAGCUAGUAGGUGAGGUAAUGGCUCACCUAGGCGACGAUACAUAGCCGACCUGAGAGGGGGGUGGGCCACCCGGGGACUGAGACACGCCCCAGACUCCUACGGGGGGCAGCAGUAGGGAAUCUUCGGCAAUGGGGGGAACCCUGACCGAGCAACGCCGCGUGAGGAAAGAAGGUUUUGGGAUUGGAAAGCUUUGUUUUAAGUCAAAAACGGGGGGGGGAGUGGAAAGUUCCACCUGGGGCGGGGGCUUACCAAAAAGGGACGGCAAACUCCGG